UGGGUAUGAUCUGUGGGGGAUGGCAUGAAGAAGGCAGUCACCUUGAAGAACAAAAAGGCAGAGCCAGGGUUUCUUGAAACAGAUUUUGACACGUCUUUUUGCAGCCUAGGGAAGGGUAAUAGAACAGUUCACUGUGAUUUGCUGAAUAACCUGGAACAGUGUGCCAGAGAACUAUAAGUAAGAAAGGCACACGGUUAUAUUUCAAAGUAUUACAGCAUUAAAUCCAACUUCCUGCUCCUUUCAUGAAAAAAACCCUUCAGAUUCUGCUUUAUAAAUAUUCAGAAGAUCUUGUAACAGCAACUAAGAUGCUGUAGUGUAAGUCCUUUUGAACCACCUUUAUGGACCUUUAAAAUGAGAAUGAACUUUGGAUUUACCCUCUGGAAUACAGUGCUGGGAAAGCUCAGGAACUAUCAUCUUCUAUCCUGAAGUCCAAAAAAUCUGUAACAUCCAUGAAGCACAGAAGCAAUGCUUCUAAAGAAAAAUCUGUAUUCUGGUGGAAAACUUAUUUAAUUUUUUUUUUUUUCAAACACCACAUGUACACAGUUCCCAUGCCGCAGUCUAUUACAUAGAGGCAAAGUUUUUGAAAUGAAAAUGUCUGACAGAGUAAAGAUCUCUGAUCAAGGGCUUAUUUCAGGGAUUUUAAUGUGCUGAGAAUUAAGAGGUUGCAUUGGCUAAAAAGGCAGAGCUGUCACUCCCUCUCUUUGCAAUAUCAGACCAUUCUUUAGGCAUUUCUUAGACCAUAUGUGGCUUCAACAACCUUAUCUUAGUAUAAAAAUCUGAGAUCACUGAACAAAAAUUAGAGUCCAAGCUUAGAUAAGGGUAACACUUCCAGAGAUCAAUCAACUAGUCCAUUAUAUAGUGUGUGAGGCUAAAGAAAUUAUAGUCAUAGAUCAAGGCUGGGAAAAAAAGUAUUAAAGAAUUUACAAUCAGUGUGGUUGAUAAGACCUUUUUAGCAGUGUUACCUAAACAAACACAGAAAAAGUCAACUGAAGCUUUUUAUUUGAAUAUGGAUUUAAUAUUUCAUGUGGUGUUAACUGAUACCAAUAUUUUGGUAUGUGUUUAGGCAUAACUCAGUAAAGAGAUUCUGGGCUUAUCCAUCUCCUGUAGCCAAAGAUAUUAUGCUCUUCAGGAGUCUUGGCUGUUACAGCAUUUCUACCAAUUCAGUACACAUAUCAUUUCAUUCUGCAAAUAUACAACAUAAGAAAAAAGUGGGAGAAAAUUAAUAGUGACUGAAAGAAUCCUAAGUAGUCCAUGAAUAACUAAAGUGGGGAAUUGGUGAAAUUGUCAUAGUCAUCAGAGGGUAAAGCUCUAAAUGGUUUUACAAGGAAAGCAGUGAGAGAAUAUGGCAACCAGUUUUAAAAUGUAACCACAAAAAUUGCUGAACAAGGAUGUUUGGAGUGAUUGCUUAGAUGAGAUCACUCUGGAAAAUCCUUUAACCAUCUUAAGAAAUAAAAUUGCAAAUAGUUUUUUUCUCUUUGUUUAAAGUCCUAUAAAAAAAAUAGAUAAAAAUGCCCACCCAGCACACUGUUAUGAUUAAAUAAAAUGGACAGACCUUUUUAUAUUGGACACUUUUUCUUACACAAAAUGCAAAUUCAUGAACUGAACAGCUGCAUGAAAAAUAUAUUUUUGUAUAUAUUAACCCUAUAAUUAUUAGUAAAUGCAUAUUGUGUUUUGUGUGUGUUCCAUCUAUAUGUGUAGAAUAUUAUGGGCUUUAUAUACUAGAUAUAUAGCUUGCAUAUGAAGCAUGAAUUUAUAUGUCAGGAGACAUGGAACUGAGCAGUACAGAUCAGGUAAUACAAGAGAAAAGUUACCUUACUGUGGAGUCUCCUUGCUCAUGAUAUUUUGCCAUCUUUUGGUCCUCACAACCUAUCAGCUCCCCACUCUAAAUCUCUGGCUGUAGAGGUUAGGUGAUAAGGCAGGCUAUCCACUGCUUUUCUUCACCUACUUGUAUUUUUAAGGCAGUGUUAGUAAGGGGAAAUGUGGGUUAUGCACGUGGAAACACAAAGGAGUGUUUUAGCUUCUUGCUGCUUUAUUUUUAUUUUGUCCUUUUGUGUGUGUUCAUAUAAGACCACUAAAGGGAUUUUAGGCUAUGACUGUCAGAGAAAUUUCUAUUUCCAGAGACGAUGCUAGAUAUAAGAAAUAAUUAGAAUGUAAGAAAACUAAAUCGAAACAGAUUCAUUUGCAAAGAAGCAACCAAAGCUGUCAAACGACAGCCUUCACAGAAUCAUCUGUGAAACAUUCACUUUGAAGUUCACCAGCAAAUGAAAUAAUAGUCUGUUAAGGGGAUUGUGAUUUAGCCAAGGGUGUGCUGGCCUGCUGGUGACUGACAUCUGAUAAGCAGUAAAACUGCACUACACUUCAAGUGGUGGGUUCUUGCUUUCAGUCUGAUGAGGUUAUCUUAUAGCCAAGUCACUUCAUAGUUCUCUUUUCUGCUACUCUCAGACUGAAAAGCUGCAAGAUUUGUUCUUACUCUCUUAAUCCUGGAAAUGAAAUUUUUGGGGAGGAUGUGUAGAUGUAACACAUAAGAAAGAGUUUUAAUUUCAUGUAAUUUCUUGUAUAUUUUAGAAGAAAUUUAAAGACCUGUCUGUUCUGCAAUUACUCUUGACAGAGUAUGACAAUAAAAAGUUUCACGAGGCCUACCAGAGAGAAAGAAACUAAACUGAAAGGGGCUUAAGUUCUUCUAAACACUCACAAAAAAAAAACAAACAAACAAACAAAAAAAAAAAACAAAACAAAACAGGAAUACAGUGAUAUACAGUGAUUGUGUGGCUUUUUGUCAGGGUGAGGAAAAAUGAUUUAUGUGUUUACACUACAAUCAAGAACGUUUUCAUCACUUGUGUAAUACAAUGUUAUCUCGAUAAACUAUUCUGUGAACUUAACAGAAGAACAUACCUUUCAGUGAAAAAGUUAGUAACUUUAACCAAGAUGUCACCUGAGAUGUCAAAAAGAAAGUCGGGAUGUGUCUCUUUUAAAAUAGUGUCAAUUUAAUUUGUCUGUGAAGUUAGUUGGAAAAAAAUGUAUCAUUCAGAAUAAAAAUGGAUUCAAUUCUAUCAGUCAAGGGUCUAAAACCAAAAUCUAAUGCAAUUUUGGCUUUUUACUUAGGAAAACAAAAUUAAAUUGAGGUUUUGUACCACUCGAAACAUGGUACCAUAAGUCUCAUGCCUGAAGUUAUCCAGAACGCUUUCACCAUAGCCUCUUUAGGUCAGCCCUGCAGGACAUUUCCACAGUGCUUGUAUCCAUGUAGAAAUCUUUUCUUCUUUUCUGAGGUGGUAAAAGUAUCAGACAUGCUAUCAUUAAAAAAUAUUAAUGCAAAAAUGCAAGUGCUGAAUUGAAUAUGAGUUGCUGCUAUUGUACGACUCUUGAAACCAGGUCAUGCCCAUCUACAGAGAAAACAAGUUUACCUGUGGGUAGAUUUGUCAAAUGCUUUAGGUAUGUUCAAUUCUUGAACACAGGGGUACUUUGGUAUAGACAAAAUCUUCAUUUGACUAAACAACUUCAAUCUUGUCGGUUAUCAUGGUAAGGAUGAGAAUUUUCUCGUCCUGUGUUGUUUGCAUAAUAAGACUGAAAGGUGCAUUUCAGGAGUCAGUGAACAUUUCCCGGGAGAUAGGUUAUCACAUAAGAUGAGCUCUCUAACAAUUUUGAUACUAAAAUUUCUAUAAAUUUUAACUAGCUUAGGCUUUUCCAUCCUCCACUUAUCUUCCUCUCAAACACAUACCCUGUUGGUAUACUUUCUCUCUAUGGAGAAAUACAUGUUUAUGCUAAGAAAAAAUUAAACCACCUGGUAUAAAAAUAGUUGUUAAAAGACCUGACAAUUUAUUUCACACUGCAUUCUAGUGAGACAAAAGUAAAGCACAGACAAAAUAACACUUCCUUUUGCAGAUAUGAAAACAAUUUCACUGGAAAUAGGUUCUGUCAUAGCACUUGAUAAAAUCUUUCAUAUUGUGAAAAGUAAGCCCUUUUUCUCUUUUUUUUUUUAUUUUCUGGAAUCCUGUUUCCAGGCAAAAAGAUGCAAAGUUCUGCCAAAUAUAGUGACUUAUAAUUUUGUUAAAAAAAAAAAAAUGUUGGUUUGGGGUUUUGGCUUGGCUAGUUUGUUUUGGUGGUUGAUUGGUUGGUUUGUUGGGGUUUUUUUUAAUGUGGGCAUUUUACAACAUUUCAGGUGGUGUUUAUCCAGCUUGAAUCCAGCUUGUCUAGGAUUUUUAUCUUCAGCUUUAAAAAUCUAGCAUCAACACUGAAACUCGUAGAUUUUUGGUCUGAGUUUUUCAUCUUAGAACACAGAUGAUAAUGCCAUUGAAAUUAUGUGUUAUUUGUGUCCAUUUUACAUUAAAAAUGUCAUCUAUAAUUUAACAUAUUGAUGAGACACAGCUUGUUCACUGGUCUAGUUCAGUUCCCGCUCUAGAAAUUUUCUUAACAAUAAAUUAAUUAAUAUAGAUAACAAGUGUAAAUAUUUAGUCAUAUCUGCUAAGAUAUGCUUGAGUAAUAAAAUUAUCCCAGGAAACAAACAAGUUAAAUUUUAAUAAAUAUGACAGUAGUUAAUCAGUGCUUUCACAAAUGGGAGCAAACAUUGGAAAGUGACUAGAGGGAA